CAAGUUUAGGGCAUGCUAUUUUUCGUUGUACUCAUGGCUAAAUAAAAUAUAGGUUGUAAUUGCUACAAAAUAACAACAAAGUUAUCAGUAACACGAUAAGAAAAAAACGUUACCGAUGAAAAGCGGUUCGUAAUAAAUGAUAACCUACUUGAAUAAUGGUUGUAGGUUGUUCGUCACGAAUUUGUGAUCGUGCUGGUAAGUGCCAUAAUACCAUUGAUUAAUGCUUAUUGUUUUAUUGAUGUUUCCUUUCUGACAACUCCUCACACAUAACGAUAUUUAACUUAAAGACGAAAUCGACGAACUCAAGUGUAGGUAUUCUUUAAAAACAAAUGUCUUCUUUUUUAAAUAAUAGUGGAAUUGUUUCAGCUAAAUACCUCAAUUGAUUACAAUUUAGAAGCUUUUAGUCGCUAGCUAUAUGAAAAUUACAUUUUGCUUUGUGAAAUGUCGAAAUUGGCCUUGCUAAAAGCUCACAGGACCGAGAUAAAACUGAAAUGACUCCCCUGGACAUAAUUAUUAAUUAAUGCAUUAUGACUAUUUUGAUCUGGAUGCCAAAUGCCGAUAAUUUUUGUUCAAACAGCCUAAAUCAAAACCAAGUAACUUUGGUUUAUUAUCAUGCAUUUCCAUGUUGUUCUGGCUUCUGGAUUAAACAAGUAGCUUUUACCGAUUUGUAUUGAUGAUAGUUAACGUAUAUCCGAAAAUAUUUAUAUGGUCCAAUUCAAGAUGCUGAGAAAACAUUUAGAAAGAAAAAACAGUCAACUUCUCACAAUCACUCACAAAUUAAGAACACAUAGGUACUUCAUUCGUAUAUCUCCAACUAUGAUUAGAUAGUUGAAGUUGUGGGUGCUCCAGAAAUUCAGGUUGUAGAAGAAUUAAUACAAAGUAAAAAAUUAGAAUAAACAAAAAUAAUUUGAAAAAAAUGAUUUUUAGAUACGUGGGACCAUAUACA